UACGAAGGGGGCUAGCGUUGCUCGGAAUUACUGGGCGUAAAGCGCACGUAGGCGGAUUGUUAAGUCGGGGGUGAAAUCCUGGAGCUCAACUCCAGAACUGCCUUCGAUACUGGCGAUCUCGAGUUCGGGAGAGGUGAGUGGAACUGCGAGUGUAGAGGUGAAAUUCGUAGAUAUUCGCAAGAACACCAGUGGCGAAAGGCGGCUCACUGGCCCGAUACUGACGCUGAGGCACGAAAGCGUGGGGAGCAAACAGGG
rnacentral:rRNA from 1 species